UGCACAUUUACAGGUACACAUAUAUAACAAAGGUAUUUGGGCAGAAUGUACAUGUGUGUAUAUACAUGUAUAGAUAUAAAUAUUCAGACACCGUAGUAUCGAUGAGGGGUUGCCCCUCCAUUUUGGGGGGUGGAGGUGGUGGGGGUGAUGUCGACCAUUUCCUUGCUAUGGGAACAACUUGACCAGCCUAAUGACACUUCAACUUUUAUCAAUCUUGUAAAAUAUAUAAUAUAUGUGUUGUGAUGAUUGUUACUAAAAUUUUAUAUUAGUAUUGACGUAUGCCCCCUCCAUGAUUAGGAUAGACACUUCUCUCUCUCUCUCUCUCUCUCUCUCUCUCUCUCUCUCUCUCUCUCUCUCUCUCGUCAAGGUGUUCUUGAUAGGCCUGGCCCGCACAUUGAAAAACGAAAAUACAUGCAUGAUAUUUAUUAAAUUCAUUUUUUUUAAAAAGUCUGAUGUAGUUACAUAUACUGUCUCUUGGAAACAGACACGUAGCAUCAUUUAUCGGGGAGGGGGGGGGGUCGAAGGAUAAGUUGGUAGUUAAUAAGCAAAUGAAAAAAAACCUUUCUGCCUGAUCUUCGAAUUCUUAAAUCGUCGGGGAGUGGGGGGGGGGGGGGUAUCCUUCGCUACAUGGGUUCAAUUCAAACACGGACGCAUUUUUGUGAGGUUUUUAAAUACAUUUGCUAUAUGAAAUAUACCAUCUGAAGUUACAUGCAUAUUACUUGACGUGUUUUGCUGUACCCAAGAAAAUGAUAUUCCAUUCAUGCAACAUAAAUUUGUAUCGUUUAGUACAUGUACAUUUACCACACUUUAUUCAAUAUAUUUUGUAAAUACCCACAGCAGGUAGACAUAUUUUAUUCGUAUGUACUGUAACAUGUAUAUUGCAUACACAUGUAAGCAGACCUGUUAUAUAGUCCUUGGUGUACAUGGCAUAACAAGUAAUUUUUUCCGACUCAAUCGACGUUUUUAAUCGAAGUGUUUAUAUUUAUGACCAAAAAAAAACAGAAAAAAGAAAAUUCAAGAGCCAUUUUAUUUUCCAUAUUUCAUUUGAAUAGGAGGACAUUGAACAGCACCUUCGAAAAUAUGAUUGCGUUCUACUCAACAAUUUUUGACAAAUACACGCAUUAUUUUCUUCACUCUAAUUAACACAAGAUUCUUCCGCAAAAUGUCUAUGACCACGAUAAAGUUACAUGUAAAUGAAUAAUGUAUUUUCCAUAGCAUGCCAGUUUUCAAUAGUCUUUGAUCUCAAUGAGUAUUUUUAUAUAAAAAGUUAAAAUUGUAACUUUUAGUAAAAUAUUCUAGAAGAAUCAGGAGACUGUAAAUCCUAUAAGGUCGAUGACGUCGUUCCGAAAAAGCGACCGUCGGAAGAUAGCAUCAGAGUUAACAAUGCAAUAUUGUAACGUUAUUUUCUCAAUAUCAGCAACAAGUUAGUGGUACAUGUUAUAUAUGAAUGAAACGAGAAAAUUAUCACCUUUCUACCUGCAAAAUAUGACUGGUUUUUGAAGUGCGGCCAAUUUUCACCUUGGAUGCUUCUUAAGAUUUUUAAUCGGCUGAAAGGAUAUUCGGUUUCAAAAAUAUUUUCCUGUUGUUUUCUUUAUAAAGAGCACUAAUGAAAAUGAUCAUAAAAAUUAAUUAUCGGGCACUCUGUCAUUAAAGAUUAAUAAAUACAUAAAGUCAAUAGUAUGGACAGUAAAGAAAUAACAAACAUAAUUUGGAAAUAUGUUUAUAAAUUAGUUACAGAUUUUUAAAAACUAUGUACGAUCUAGCAGAUUGACGAUUUUAUUAUCUCCCUUUGCUAACUCUUUAGUGUUAAAGAUACGAUUGUUUGGGGAAACAUGACAACAUGUCAUACGGGUUGACGGUUUGAAGACAGACGAUGCCGUUUUGUAGCAUUUCUUUAUGGACAAAUACUCCAUGUUAAGAGGUUUCAAAGACAGUUUAUGUGAAUGACUAGAAGAAAUCGGUAGCUAGACAUUUAUGCUCCUUAAACAAAUCGCAUUGCGGGAAAUCCAUGACGGAAGGCCUGUGUCUAUUUUCACAAUCACACGUUGGAAUUUUUCGGUUGCUUCAUAUCAUCAGAGCUCUUUGGAGUGGAUGAGGAAUACUAAAUGCAUUUUUCCCAGAUCACUCGGUCAGUUGUAUUGGAUAUACGAACCGGAUAUUGGCACAUAUCAUUAACAUUCAGGAUGAGCAACAUGUUUGUGGAAAAAUGCUUAACUGGCUAAUAUGGCCAGUAUGGGUGACGAUGCAGGUAAGUUUAUAUGAAUAAAUCAUAAAUGUGUAUUAAUUACUUACGCUAAUUUCAUCAUCCGUUAUUUUAAUCAUUCUUUUGCUUUGGGCCAUAAAUAAUCUGUCGACUAAUGAAUAAAUAGAAUCAGUAUGUGUGGGGGAGGGGGGUUGAAAACUAGUUUAAAAAUAUUAUACAUUAUAAUGUAGGCCUUUUUAGAAACACUUCUGUUUUCCCUCUGCCAACCAGUGGUUGAAAGUGACCUUUUCUUCCACAGGCUAAAAUGAAAACUCACAAGCUAAAAUAAAACUAAUGAAUCAUUGCUCUUUUUUAUGUUAUCUCAAUGAAUGAUCCCCCCAUCUGAUUACUGAACCUGGUGGGCCAACUGUUACACAUUGUUUAGACAAGUUAAUGACAUGUGCCACUUGAUGAUAUGUUGGGGUAUCUUGAUCCUCACAACUCUAAUCUAACACUUACAUGUACCGCAGGUUUCAAUUUCACAACACAUCUGGGUUGUUACUAGAGAUUUUUAAAAACAAGCCCCACACUCAUGGUUUAUGAGCAGCUUCAAUCCCACGAAAAUUCACAAGUCCCAUGAAUUUUCAUGAGUCCUUUUUGUAUCUGAUUUUUCAGAAAAGUACAAUUGUUGAUUCCACAUAGUUGUUAAUCAUGAUGUCAUCACAGUGGGAAUUCAAAAUUAUUGAUUUUCUAUUUUCUUAGCCAUGGAAUAAUAACUAAAAUGGGAAACACUUUUUGUGACACCCGAUUCCAUAUCGAAAUCCUUUAAAUGUUCUUAUAACCAGUAUAUAUGCAUAUUUUUAAAUCCAAUCACAACCCAUAUAGUUAAAAAUACAUAUAUUAAAAGGGCUCUUCAUUAGCUAACUUUUAUCACAUCAAAUAUGAAGACCUCAAGAAUUUAUUGUAAUUAAUUUUGUGUAAGAUGAACAAUAUCAAACAUGAUUUUUAAUCAAAUGAAUAUUUCUUAUCAGCAAAAAUGUAUCGGAUGUAAUGAUUUAGCACGGGUCUUUUAACUAAAAGUCUGUAUAGCUUACCUGAUCACAAUUUUUCUGUAAUCAUAAUGUCUGUUAUACUUGUUGUCUACAUAAUUUGGAAACUUGUGAACUUGAUUGAAAAUUGAAUUAUUGACACCUCUGCAGGUAUCAAGAUCAUUGCCAUCACCACAAAUUGAUAGUUGUUAGUUCAGCUCCAUUGAAUGAAAUAUAUUUACUUAAAUUCCAAUGUACAAAGAAUCUAUUCACUGAAAGUCCAAGAAGAUUCCAUGACUUGCUUGCCAUACAACAAACAACGUAUUAUGGACAUGAUUCCUGGAACUAGAACUUGAAUGGGUCAGACUUGAACACAUGUAAAGUCAUGUGGCAAUAUUAAAGGUGUUGUACUUCAGGAAAAGGAGAAGCAUAUUUGUUGGAAGAUGGAUAAAGAAAAAUUGGAGCAUGCACUAGACUUCUUUAAAUCCUGUUUUUUUAUCAGGUAACAUCAUUGAGUACAAAAGAAAUGCACAUUCACAGCAGACAUCUUAUAACCUUUCCACAAGUAAUUGGGACUGCCUGCCAUUCAACCAUUGUACAAAUAUGAAAGUUUUGCUUGUUGCUAGGGAAAAUUGGUUGCUCUGGUGAUAUAGUCAAACCUAAUGUCUUCAUUGGAUUCAACAUAUCAGUAGAAAAUCAUAUAUUGGUACAUUUGCAUUAGGUUCUCAUUCCUGUGCAAUCUAAUCACACAGCUUGAAAUUUUAUGUGCGUUGCUAAGGAGAAUCAGUUGCUAAGGUGAUAUGCUUUAAGUCUGAUUUCUCCAAUUGGCCUGCAAUGUCAGUAAACUAAAGUGAACCCUGCUGAUUUGAAUAUAUUUUCAGUAAAUAGAAUCAUUUUAAUGCAUAUUUUUGCAGAUAUUCUUGUUUUAUUGUGUUGGAAAUGGGCCUGAAAGAUUUGCCUAGCAACCGCUACUAUAUGCAUUUCCAACUCUUUUGAUUUUUAUUUUGAGUACACUUAGUAUUGAUUGUUUAGAAAAUAUGUAUCAAAAUUUGGCACUUUUCGGAUAAUUAAAGUAAUAUGUAUUUAAAAUACCUUAAAAUUGUCGAAUUUACAGAAAAUUGAUAAAUAUUAAAACAAUGCCUAUUCCAAAGUCCUCUACAGAUACCAUAUAAUAAUAUUUCAUUAGUAUUGUACAUUUUCAUAUUGAGGUAACCUUUACCUCGCCUAAAUAAAUUAUCAUUAUACAGUGUAUUUGAAAAAAUGUUAUUUCCAUUUAUAUACAAAUUUUAAGAAGUAUGUAUUUCUGCACUUUACAAAACCCAAUACAGUGGUUGCUAUGGAAACACAAAUGCUUCGAUGUCCAUAGCAACCAUUGAUGCACAAUGUUUUUACUCUUCAUGUCUUCAUAUAUCAUUAUUAUGAAGAGUUAUGGAAAGUUUCAUGAAAAUCCAAGAUUAUCAGUGUGCCACCUUCUGCAUGAUUCUUACGUGGACUGUUACUUAAAACGUGUUGACUGUCCUUUCAAACGAGUACAAUUCCAGGUUGUACUAUCCACACCUCCGUUCUUUACUGAUAUCAGACUGAUGCAUGAUGUGGAGAAUAACUGUGAUUAAGUACCAUCUUAUAUACCCAAUAAAUAUUCCUAAUUAAAAAGUAGAAAUACUGGAUUAUGUUUAUUUUACCAUAUAUAAAACUUAUACGGUACCAAGUGUGAUGCAUCAGAUGCGCAUUUCGACAAAUAAUGUCUCUAUAGUGAUGCUCAACCGAAAUGCCUGAAAUCCGAAAUAACAAUAAACUUGUAAGAGCUAGUUUACGGAAAAACAUAGUGCCAAAAAGUGGAGUCAAAUUCGUCUAAGGAUAAGAGCUAUGCAUGAAGGAGAUGUAUAUUUAAUCGUAAUUCAUUUUUAAAUUCAAUGGUAUUGAUGUUUACAAACUUUUUUGGUUGAAAAGUUUCGAAUUAUAUAAAACCCGCUAAUCGCUGAAUGUAUACACAAAAUUUAUUAAUGUUGUGAUAUUGGAAAUUUUAAUACAUUGUGUAAAAUAAUUGAACGAUUUAUCAUAUCUUCAUUGAUGUAAAUUAAUGUUUAUUUAUAUACAUUAAUGAGGCCUAAUUAAGAUAUAGUUUGAGAAAAAGGAAUAUACUUUCACGUGUUUUAAGAAGUGUGAUACUAGAAGAUUAAAAGUAGAAACAGUUUUAAAAAAUACAAUAUACAUUCUUCAUAGGAGUUAACAGAUAUAUCAAUUUGUGUUACCUUUACCUUUCAUUAUGUAGAAAUCUAAGUGGGAUUAAUUCGAUUUAAAAUUUCUUUAGAAUAUUAGAUAUAUUGAGAUUAUACACUUAGAUUUGAUUGAGAUGAUGAGAUAAAUUUCUGAAAUUUCAUCAGACGAAUGAGUUUACCUUUGGAAUCAUUUGAGAACAUUAUAAUGCUAUGAGGUUUAUCAAUAUUGUUAUUUGAGAACAUCCUCGACAUUGUCGAGAAAUACAAUCAAUGGAGAUGAUAUAAUGAAACAUUUCUGAAAUAUAUCAGAUGCAUAAGAAUUCUUUUGGGGUCAAAUACCGUCGGACAUGUUUCAUACCGAUUGUUAAGUCGUUCUUGGCACACUGAUUUCGACUACGGAUAAGUUGGUUUACCGGGUCAAGAUAUAGGGCUUACGGCGGGUGUGACCGGUCGACAGGGGAUGCUUACUCCUCCUAGGCAUCUGAUCCCAACUCUGGUAUAUCCAGGGGUCCGUGUUUGCCCAACUCUCUAUUUAGUAUUGCUUAUAGGAGUUAUGAGAUUGAUCACUGUUCGUUAUAUUCACCUUUAUAGGAGUUAUGAGAUUGAUCACUGUUCGUUAUAUUCACCUUUAAAUAUGAGUUAUGAGAUUUAUCACUGUUGAUAUUAUUGAAAAAUACACUUAGAAUAUUGUUAUCGCUUGAUUUAUUGGUUUUUGAUAUUUCUCUAAACAUAUAUUUGUUCUGAGUGGCAUUCUGGGACAACAUUAAGGUGGAUCAAUCCUCAUGUGACUUAUCAAUAAUAAUGGUUAAAAGUGCAAAAACUGUAUUAAUUUCCAUUCAAUAUAGUUAAUUUAAACAAUAACCAAAGAUAAUGUGUAUGUUGCCACACUUUUAAAGAUGUCAGACUUAAAAAAAAACGGAAGUAUAUGUUAACAUAAGAAAAUCACACAUUUUCGUUGUACAGAAUAAUUAAAAUAGAUAACAUCUUGUUGAAAUGACAAAUUUUAAAUGUCAACAGUUUAAAAAAAACUGUUAAUUCAUAAAUAUAUAUAAAUCAAUAGUGGGUAUUUGGGAAAUCAUGCAUAAUAGACAUGCUGUAGAAUAAAUACCAGCAUAGGAGUCAUUGCCCUUGACAACAUUUUUUUAAUUAUAAAGAAUUGAGUAUCUAUAGAAAAUAUACACUUUUUCAAUAUCAAUAGUUUACCAAAUUUUUUAUUUUAUGCAGUGAAUAAAAUUUCUCUGAAGAUAUAUUUCUAUCAUGUGCAAAGUUUAAUUUGAUAAAGAUUUUUGUAAAACCUAUGACAUCACACGAGGAUCAAUUAACCUUAAAGAGAAACCAAGCGUUAGUCUUCUUAAAUAUCAUUUUUAAAAGGUAUUUUUUCACAUAUCAAAGCGAGUUUGUAAUUUAUUCCAACAAAUGUUUUAUGCACAAUAUGUAUGUCACUGCAAAAAGCGGUCAUUUUAUUAACUUCAAAAUCUCGUUAUUAGUAAUUUUUAUAUUGAACAAUGAUAUGAAUUGCUAUAAAAUCUUUUUAUUCUUGCAUUUCAUACAGAAUAUUUCAUAAGGUAAUUCCCAUCAAAAAUGCUAGUCUAGCAUGCAUCAUUUCUUAGAAAAGUUUUCCAAUAUCAUAUUCUUUCAUCAGUUAUCAAUUGCAAAACAAAACAAAAUCGAUGUUGAACGACAGAGCUUCAUAGAAUAAUCCACUCAUUCAUAACUUGUACUUAGAUUAUCAUGCGACAUGUGCACUUUGAUAUCGUUCGUGAGAAGUUUAUAAUAACUUACAGUUCACAGGUGUCCGUGGAGAUGUUGGUCGGUAAUUCUCUCAGUCCUAUACUAAAACAACGUAGAAGAGUUCCAUUGCAGAAAUACGCCUUUUCACAGAAACACCCGUCAGGACAGGCGUCCGUCCCCUGGCUGUAAAGCACAGAGAGCACGACAGACAACAAAACCACCAGCUGCAUCAUCACAUUAUAUAAGAGUAGAGUUAUUACGUAAGGCAAGAACUAAAUUAUCCCUCUAACGAAUUGACCUUGCACUUGAUCUCAUGUGGUAAAUUGAGUCAGCAUACACGCAUUCAUUCUAUUUUGUCACAAACAAAUCGAAUAGUCCUUAGAUGAAGCUUAAACAAAGUCGAAUAGUCCCUAUGUGAAGGAUGAUUUGGUUUUUGUUUGGUUUUUUUGUGAUACACUAACUUUAAUUAAGGUUUUCAGUUAAGAAUUAUUGCUAUUGUUAAGUUUUUCUUUAUCAUUCAUUUCUUACAAUUUUAUGCUCCCUAAAAAAAACUUGAGUUGAAGUCAUAUCUGUUCGUUCAAGCUCAUGUCUCUUAAUUUAUUAAACUGAUUUUAGACGUUCCUAGAAACAAGGAGUUUUGAAUCAGGGUCUUUCAAUGUCGUUUUUUAAAGAUCAAGGUCACUCAGAACAUAUAAAAUUUCUUAUAUCAACAGUGUUUAAUGUAAAGGUUCCCGUCUCGUAAACCUCUCAUCAGAAAUUUAUUAUAAUUAAUCACAAAUAGUCCUUGAGACAAAGGCUUUUAUACCAAGGUUUUU